rnacentral:hammerhead_ribozyme from 1 species
GUCCAGCUGAUUAGUCCCAAAUAGGACGAAACGCGCGUCCUGGAU